rnacentral:rRNA from 1 species
UACGUAGGGUGCGAGCGUUAAUCGGAAUACUGGGCGUAAAGCGUGCGCAGGCGGUUUGUAAGCCAGAUGUGAAAGCCCCGGGCUUAACCUGGGAAUGGCAUUUGGGACUGCAAGGCUCGAGUGCGGCAGAGGGAGACUGGAAUUCCUGGUGUAGCAGUGAAAUGCGUAGAUAUCAGGAGGAAUACCGAUGGCGAAGGCAGGUCUCUGGGCUGACACUGACGCUCAUGCACGAAAGCGUGGGGAGCAAACAGG